rnacentral:rRNA from 1 species
UGAAGAUGCAGUGUACCCGCGGCUAGACGGAAAGACCCCGUGAACCUUUACUACAGCUUGGCACUGAACAUUGACCCUACAUGUGUAGGAUAGGUGGGAGGCUUUGAAGCAGGUACGCCAGUAUCUGUGGAGCCGUCCUUGAAAUACCACCCUUGUAGUGUUGAUGUUCUAACGUCGACCCCUUAUCGGGGUUGCGGACAGUGCCUGGUGGGUAGUUUGACUGGGGCGGUCUCCUCCCAAAGAGUAACGGAGGAGCACGAAGGUGGGCUAAUCACGGUUGGACAUCGUGAGGUUA